UUUAAACAGAACCAUGAGUUUUCUGUCUAACUUUGAUCAUCGUCUUAUUUAGAAUUUUUUUUUAUGAUUAGUGUUUUUAUUGUUAUUCGAUGAUAAAACAUAAAUAGUGAUUUAUGCAUGACAUAUUUUUUUUUUAAAAAAAAUAUUUUUAAAAUAAAACGGAAGAUUAAAGAUGGAAUUCCAACUUUAAACGGACG
rnacentral:pre_miRNA from 1 species